CAGGCAGAUUCUUUACCAGUUGAACCACGAGGGAAGCCCUUAUGGAAGAUGGUCCUACAGCCAUAUUCUGUAAAACUAGUAACAUAGAAUUUAAUGACCAGAAAGUCAUAUUUCUAUAGAUUUGGAAAGAGAUGGGGAAAUUUACUCCUCAAACCAUGCUCUUUUAGGUCAGAUCAUAUACGCAGAAUCCCACUCAGCUGUGUUUGUUUUCCUUGACUUACCUACCUGUUCUGAGGAACUAUUAGUUGUCUUUCUCAGUGAUCUGACUAGACCUUUCAAGCAAGGAGGUUUUGACCAAGAUAACCCCUUAAAAUAUUCCAAUGCUGUGAUCAAAGUCUUGAUUCCGCUUUCAUUUUAAUCCAUUUAAAAAUGCCAUUUCUGUAUAUUCAGACUAUCUCCUCUGUUUCUGUCCGCCUUGGAUAAUCUAGGUCACGCUUCCAUUUCUGUAUUCUGAGGACACCAGAUUGAGGCCACGCAUGAAGAACAGCGGCAGCUCCUCCUCCUUGCCCUCCUUUUGAAACAUGUUUUUUCUGACAGCUGAUUAAAGACUGGGCGUCUAGACAACUUUCCAUAAAGAGCUGGUAGAAGACAAUGGAUGCUGCUUUGUUCCCAACCUAGAAAAACCCUUGUGUAUCACAAGUGCUCCUACUGGAAGAACUCCAGAAGUUCCCCUCGCUUACAUCAAGUGCUUUUCAUCACAAAUUGGGCUGAGAAUUACAAAUCAUCUAGUAGAAAGUCCCUAAAAGAUUUACAUUUGCAGAAACAGGAACAUCUCGGGAUAGAGGAUUUCUUUCCAUGAUUUGAGCAAAGUAUUUUAUGGAUUUUGUUAUUCUGGUCUCUGUGACACUAUUCGGGAUAGGAAAAUCAAAGGUGGAGAAAGAUAAGGAAGAAAAGGAUAAAACCAAGAGAACAGGCCUUGCAAUAAGUUAAUAAAUGUUUUCAG